rnacentral:rRNA from 1 species
ACUCGAGUGGCGAACGGGUGAGUAACACGUGGGUGAUCUGCCCUGCACUUCGGGAUAAGCUUGGGAAACUGGGUCUAAUACCGGAUAGGAGCCAUCUUUAGUGUGGUGGUUGGAAAGUUUUUUCGGUGUAGGAUGAGCUCGCGGCCUAUCAGCUUGUUGGUGGGGUAAUAGCCUACCAAGGCGGCGACGGGUAGCCGGCCUGAGAGGGUGUACGGCCACAUUGGGACUGAGAUACGGCCCAG